rnacentral:rRNA from 1 species
GGGGAUAUUGCACAAUGGGGGAAACCCUGAUGCAGCAACGCCGCGUGAGUGACGAAGGUCUUCGGAUUGUAAAACUCUGUUCUUGGUGAAGAUAAUGACGGUAGCCAAGGAGAAAGCUCCGGCUAACUACGUCCCAGCAGCCGCGGUAAUACGUAGGGCGCGAGCGUUGUCCGGAAUUACUGGGUGUAAAGGGUGCGUAGGCGGCCUUGCAAGUCAGGCGUGAAAACCAUGGGCUCAACCCGUGGACUGCGUUUGAAACUGUGAGGCUUGAGUGAAGUAGAGGUAGGCGGAAUUCCCGGUGUAGCGGUGAAAUGCGUAGAGAUCGGGAGGAACACCAGUGGCGAAGGCGGCCUACUGGGCUUUAACUGACGCUGAGGCACGAAAGCAUGGGUAGCAAACA